rnacentral:lncRNA from 1 species
UUUUUGCAACAUUAAACUUCUUGUUUCUUCUAGACAUCUUAAAUGCUUUGUUGAAGUUUUGAGUAAGCAAAGCCCUUUACUCUUGGAUUUCUUCAAUAGCAACAUUACUAGUAGUUGCAAAUUGGGGUUUCAACUUGAAGUGUUGUGUUCUUUUCACCUUUGGAUAUGUUCUUCCUGGAUUCAUCAAGGUUCAUUCCAAAUGUUUGUAGCGGCCCUAUGAGUUUAUUAAUGCGCAUACUAUCU